UGCACUCGAGCUAUAAAACAUGUACGGACGAAUUUUACGGUACAAUGUUCAAGUAUACAUACUACUAGUAUCUAAAUAGAAAUUAUCUUGUGAUCCGUAUAUAUUUUGGAAUCCCACCUCUAUGGAGUACUACAAUUUAUCUACUCAACGCUCUUUCAAUAAGUGUAACAAAAAAUAAUUGUGUCAUAACAACCAACAUUAAU
rnacentral:lncRNA from 1 species